rnacentral:rRNA from 1 species
GGGGGGGCAAGCGUUAUUCGGAUUUACUGGGCGUAAAGCGCACGUAGGUGGCAUGGUAAGUCAAAGGUGAAAGCCCUCGGCUCAACCGAGGAAUUGCCUUUGAAACUGCUUUGCUUGAGUCCGGGAGGGGGGAGCGGAAUUCCCAGUGUAGCGGUGAAAUGCGUAGAUACUGGGAGGAACACCGGUGGCGAAGGCGGCUCCCUGGACCGGUACUGACACUGAGGUGCGAAAGCGUGGGUAGCAAACAGGAUUAGAUACCCUGGGUAGUCCGCGCCGUAAACGAUGGGCACUAGGUGCAGCGGGUGUCGACCCCCCUGCUGUGCCGUAGUUAACCGCAUUAAGUGCCCCGCCUGGGGAGUACGGUCGCAAGGCUG